GACGAACGCUGGCGGUGUGCUUAACACAUGCAAGUCGAACGGUAAGGCCCUUUCGGGGGUACACGAGUGGCGAACGGGUGAGUAACACGUGAGUAACCUGCCCUCAUCUUUGGGAUAACAGUCGGAAACGGUUGCUAAUACUGGAUAUGAGCUUGCAAGGCAUCUUGUGGGUUGGAAAGAUAUUUUUUGGUUGGGGAUGGACUCGCGGCCUAUCAGCUUGUUUGGUGAGGUAGUGGCUCACCAAGGCUUCGACGGGUAGCCGGCCUGAGAGGGCGACCGGCCACAUUGGGACUGAGAUACGGCCCAGACUCCUACGGGAGGCAGCAGUGGGGAAUAUUGCACAAUGGACGGAAGUCUGAUGCAGCAA
rnacentral:rRNA from 2 species